rnacentral:rRNA from 1 species
UGAGGCACGAAAAGCGUGGGGUAGCAAAACAGGAUUAGAUAACCCUGGUAGUCCACGCUGUAAAACGAUGAUUAACUAGGUGUGGGGGGACUGACGCCUUCCGUGCCGGAGUUAAACACAAUAAAGUAAUCCACCUGGGGAGUACGGCCGCAAGGUUGAAACUCAAAAGGAAUUGACGGGGGCCCGCACAAAGCAGUGGAGUAUGUGGUUUAAUUCGAAGCAACGCGAAGAAACCUUACCAGGUCUUGACAUCCAACUAACGAAGUAGAGAUACAUUAGGUGCCCUUCGGGGAAAGUUGAGACAGGUGGUGCAUGGUUGUCGUCAGCUCGUGUCGUGAGAUGUUGGGUUAAGUCCCGCAACGAGCGCAACCCUUACUAUUAGUUGCUACGCAAGAGCACUCUAAUAGGACUGCCGUUGACAAAACGGAGGAAGGUGGGGACGACGUCAAAUCAUCAUGCCCCUUAUGACCUGGGCUACACACGUACUACAAUGGCCAUCAACAGAGGGAAGCAAAAUAGCGAUAUGGAGCAAACCCCUAAAAAUGGUCUCAGUUCAGAUGCAGGCUGCAACCCGCCUGCAUGAAGUCGGAAUGCUAGUAA